UACGUAGGGUGCAAGCGUUGUCCGGAAUUAUUGGGCGUAAAGAGCUCGUAGGCGGUCUGUCGCGUCGGCUGUGAAAACUCGGGGCUCAACCCCGAGCCUGCAGUCGAUACGGGCAGACUAGAGUGCGGUAGGGGAGACUGGAAUUCCUGGUGUAGCGGUGAAAUGCGCAGAUAUCAGGAGGAACACCGGCGGCGAAGGCGGGUCUCUGGGCCGUAACUGACGCUGAGGAGCGAAGGCUAGGGGAGCAAACGGG
rnacentral:rRNA from 1 species